AGAAUCAACGCUGGCGGCGUGCCUAACACAUGCAAGUCGCACGAGAAAGGGGAGCAAUCCCUGAGUACAGUGGCGCACGGGUGAGUAACACGUGAAUCAUCUACCUCCGAGUGGGGAAUAACUGAGAGAAAUCUUAGCUAAUACCGCAUAAUACCCACGGGUCAAAGCAGCAAUGCGCUUGGAGAGGAGUUCGCGGCAGAUUAGUUAGUUGGCGGGGUAAUGGCCCACCAAGACGAUGAUCUGUAUCCGGCCUGAGAGGGCGCACGGACACACUGGAACUGAAACACGGUCCAGACUCCUACGGGAGGCAGCAGUGGGGAAUUUUGCGCAAUGGGGGAAACCCUGACGCAGCAACGCCGCGUGGAGGAUGAAGCCACUUGGGGUGUAAACUCCUUUCGAUCGGGAAGAUAAUGACGGUACCGAUAUAAGAAGCCCGGCUAACUUCGCGCCAGCAGCCGC
rnacentral:rRNA from 1 species